CGUGUGUGAAUGACGAUACAACCAAAUCCUGAGCUGCAUACGCCCCCAGUUCCUGGGGGUAGCGGCUCCCUGAUGAAUUUAUUUUAUGUCAUAGUUACACUGACACACACG
rnacentral:snoRNA from 1 species